rnacentral:rRNA from 1 species
GAUGAACGCUGGCGGCGUGCCUAAUACAUGCAAGUCGAGCGAACGGACGAGAAGCUUGCUUCUCUGAUGUUAGCGGCGGACGGGUGAGUAACACGUGGAUAACCUACCUAUAAGACUAGGAUAACUUCGGGAAACCGGAGCUAAUACCGGAUGAUAUUUUGAACCGCAUGGUUCAAAAGUGAAAGACGGUCUUGCUGUCACUUAUAGAUGGAUCCGCGCUGCAUUAGCUAGUUGGUAAGGUAACGGCUUACCAAGGCAACGAUGCAUAGCCGACCUGAGAGGGUGAUCGGCCACACUGGAACUGAGACACGGUCCAGACUCCUACGGGAGGCAGCAGUAGGGAAUCUUCCGCAAUGGGCGAAAGCCUGACGGAGCAACGCCGCGUGAGUGAUGAAGGUCUUCGGAUCGUAAAACUCUGUUAUUAGGGAAGAACAUAUGUGUAAGGAACUGUGCACAGCUUGACGGUACCUAAUCAGAAAGCCACGGCUAACUACGUG